rnacentral:rRNA from 1 species
GGGUUGUGAGGUUAAGCGACUAAGCGUACACGGUGGAUGCCCUGGCAGUCAGAGGCGAUGAAGGACGUGCUAAUCUGCGAAAAGCGUCGGUAAGGUGAUAUGAACCGUUAUAGCCGGCGAUGUCCGAAUGGGGAAACCCAGUGCAAUUCGUUGCACUAUCGUUAACUGAAUACAUAGGUUAACGAGGCGAACCGGGGGAACUGAAACAUCUAAGUACCCCGAGGAAAAGAAAUCAACCGAGAUUCCCCCAGUAGCGGCGAGCGAACGGGGAGCAGCCCGGAGUCUGAAUCAGCUUGUGUGUUAGUGGAAGCGUCUGGAAAGUCGCAGGGUACAGGGUGAUACUCCCGUACACUAAAACACACAGGUUGUGAACUCGAAGAGUAGGGCGGGACACGUGGUAUCCUGUCUGAAUAUGGGGGGACCAUCCUCCAAGGCUAAAUACUCCUGACUGACCGAUAGUGAACCAGUACCGUGAGGGAAAGGCGAAAAGAACCCCGGCGAGGGGAGUGAAAAAGAACCUGAAACCGUGUACGUACAAGCAGUAGGAGCCCACUUGUUGGGUGACUGCGUACCUUUUGUAUAAUGGGUCAGCGACUUAUAUUCUGUAGCAAGGUUAACCGUAUAGGGGAGCCGCAGGGAAACCGAGUCUUAACUGGGCGUUAAGUUGCAGGGUAUAGACCCGAAACCCGGUGAUCUAGCCAUGGGCAGGUUGAAGGUUGGGUAACACUAACUGGAGGACCGAACCGACUAAUGUUGAAAAAUUAGCGGAUGACUUGUGGCUGGGGGUGAAAGGCCAAUCAAACCGGGAGAUAGCUGGUUCUCCCCGAAAGCUAUUUAGGUAGCGCCUCGUGAACUCAUCUUCGGGGGUAGAGCACUGUUUCGGCUAGGGGGUCAUCCCGACUUACCAACCCGAUGCAAACUACGAAUACCGAAGAAUGUUAUCACGGGAGACACACGGCGGGUGCUAACGUCCGUCGUGAAGAGGGAAACAACCCAGACCGCCAGCUAAGGUCCCAAAGUCAUGGUUAAGUGGGAAACGAUGUGGGAAGGCCCAGACAGCCAGGAUGUUGGCUUAGAAGCAGCCAUCAUUUAAAGAAAGCGUAAUAGCUCACUGGUCGAGUCGGCCUGCGCGGAAGAUGUAACGGGGCUAAACCAUGCACCGAAGCUGCGGCAGCGACACUAUGUGUUGUUGGGUAGGGGAGCGUUCUGUAAGCCGUUGAAGGUGGCCUGUGAGGGUUGCUGGAGGUAUCAGAAGUGCGAAUGCUGACAUAAGUAACGAUAAUGCGGGUGAAAAACCCGCACGCCGGAAGACCAAGGGUUCCUGUCCAACGUUAAUCGGGGCAGGGUGAGUCGACCCCUAAGGCGAGGCCGAAAGGCGUAGUCGAUGGGAAACAGGUUAAUAUUCCUGUACUCGGUGUUACUGCGAAGGGGGGACGGAGAAGGCUAUGUUGGCCGGGCGACGGUUGUCCCGGUUUAAGCAUGUAGGCGGAUGUUCCAGGUAAAUCCGGAACGUUACUAACGCUGAGGUGUGAUGACGAGGCACUACGGUGCUGAAGUGACAAAUGCCCUGCUUCCAGGAAAAGCCUCUAAGCAUCAGGUAACAUCAAAUCGUACCCCAAACCGACACAGGUGGUCAGGUAGAGAAUACCAAGGCGCUUGAGAGAACUCGGGUGAAGGAACUAGGCAAAAUGGUGCCGUAACUUCGGGAGAAGGCACGCUGAUGGUAAGUGAAGUGACUUGCUCAUGGAGCUGAAAUCAGUCGAAGAUACCAGCUGGCUGCAACUGUUUAUUAAAAACACAGCACUGUGCAAACACGAAAGUGGACGUAUACGGUGUGACGCCUGCCCGGUGCCGGAAGGUUAAUUGAUGGGGUUAUCCGUAAGGAGAAGCUCUUGAUCGAAGCCCCGGUAAACGGCGGCCGUAACUAUAACGGUCCUAAGGUAGCGAAAUUCCUUGUCGGGUAAGUUCCGACCUGCACGAAUGGCGUAAUGAUGGCCAGGCUGUCUCCACCCGAGACUCAGUGAAAUUGAACUCGCUGUGAAGAUGCAGUGUACCCGCGGCAAGACGGAAAGACCCCGUGAACCUUUACUAUAGCUUGACACUGAACACUGGUCCUUGAUGUGUAGGAUAGGUGGGAGGCUUUGAAGUGUGGACGCCAGUCUGCAUGGAGCCAUCCUUGAAAUACCACCCUUUAAUGGCUGGUGUUCUAACGUGGGCCCCUAAUCGGGGUUGCGGACAGUGUCUGGUGGGUAGUUUGACUGGGGCGGUCUCCUCCUAAAGAGUAACGGAGGAGCACGAAGGUCAGCUAAUCCUGGUCGGACAUCAGGAGGUUAGUGCAAUGGCAUAAGCUGGCUUGACUGCGAGCGUGACGGCGCGAGCAGGUGCGAAAGCAGGUCAUAGUGAUCCGGUGGUUCUGAAUGGAAGGGCCAUCGCUCAACGGAUAAAAGGUACUCCGGGGAUAACAGGCUGAUACCGCCCAAGAGUUCAUAUCGACGGCGGUGUUUGGCACCUCGAUGUCGGCUCAUCACAUCCUGGGGCUGAAGUAGGUCCCAAGGGUAUGGCUGUUCGCCAUUUAAAGUGGUACGCGAGCUGGGUUUAGAACGUCGUGAGACAGUUCGGUCCCUAUCUGCCGUGGGCGCUGGAGAAUUGAGGGGGCUGCUCCUAGUACGAGAGGACCGGAGUGGACGCAUCACUGGUGUUCGGGUUGUCAUGCCAAUGGCAUUGCCCGGUAGCUAAAUGCGGAAGAGAUAAGUGCUGAAAGCAUCUAAGCACGAAACUUGCCCCGAGAUGAGUUCUCCCUGACUCCUUGAGAGUCCUGAAGGAACGUUGAAGACGACGACGUUGAUAGGCCGGGUGUGUAAGCGCAGCGAUGCGUUGAGCUAACCGGUACUAAUGAACCGUGAGGCUUAACCUUACAACGCCGAAG